AUUGAACGCUGGCGGCAGGCCUACCACAUGCAAGUCGAGCUAGCGGCGGACGGGUGAGUCAUGUCUGUGAAACUGCCUGAUGUAGGGUGAUAACUACUGGAACCGGUAGCUAAUACCGCAUACGAUCCUAUGUUCCCAGAUGGGAUUAGCUAGUAGGUGGGUUAACGGCUCACCUAGGCGACGAUCCCUAGCUGGUCUGAGAGGAUGACCAGACCCAGUGGAAGGGGGACAGGGUCCAGACUCCCGUGGGAGGCAGCGGUGGGAAAUAUUGCACAAUGGGCGAAAGCCUGAUGCAGCCAUGCCGCGAGUGUGAAGAAGGCCUUCGGGUUGUAAAGCACUUUCAGCGGGGAGGCGGUACCCGCAGAAGAAGCACAGGCUAACUCCGUGCCAGCAGCCGCGGUAAUUC
rnacentral:rRNA from 1 species